UCCUACGGGGCGCAGCAGUAGGGAAUUUUCGUCAAUGGGCGCAAGCCUGAACGAGCAAUGCCGCGUGAACGAGGAAGGUCUUCGGAUCGUAAAGUUCUGUUGAAGGGGAAAAAGAGCGGAGAGAGGAAAUGGUCUCCGAUUGAUAUUACCCUUCGAGGAAGUCACGGCUAACUACGUGCCAGCAGCCGCGGUAAUACGUAGGUGGCGAGCGUUAUCCGGAAUGAUUGGGCAUAAAGGGUGCGUAGGCGGCCUGCUAAGUCUGGAGUGGAAGGUACCGGCUCAACCGGUACAGGCUCUGGAAACUG
rnacentral:rRNA from 1 species